UUUUUUUUUUUUUGGCUCCUUUCCAUGAUCAGGUAAGUAAUUUAUAUAACCUUAAAGCUUAGGGGCCCUAGCUGCUUCCUGGUGUUCUUGUGAUUUUUUCAUACUAUUUUCAUUUCGUUACUUUAUUUUUAUAAUUCUUCUGAAUUUGUUCUUUGAUUAAUGUGCUGACUGCAAAGAUGGCAGUACGGGUUAAGUAUGAUUUUUUUAUUUUAUUCGUCUUUAGUCUUUAGUUCAUUACUUGGCUUUGAGCUAAGGAUGUUAAGUCAUGUUAAAUGUUUCUAGACUAGGCUUAUAUAUGCAAGAAGUUAUUUGUAUUAUUGGUAUUACACUAGACUUAUACAACUUAUGGUUUUGUCGUGAUCUUACUUUAGUGACAGCUAAGUGUUAAUUUUCUUAAUAUUGAUUACAGGAGUACCCCAGAUACUCAAAUUAAAUUAUCAAUUUACAAGGUGGUAAGACCCUUGAUGGGUUUCCCAACAACAUAGAGCCUGGGAAGCUCAGACGCGGUCAAGAUCAAGAAGGAGCACUCAACUACUAGUGUAGUCUAGUAUGUUUUUUUCUUUUUUCUUUUUUCUUUUUUCCUUAGCAUAUAAUAUAAAUUGUUGACUCUUGUAUGACCUCAAUUAAAGUUGUUCAGGGAGGGAAGAUCCUUGUAGCCGCCCUAUUUAGAUGGAAUGCUCUUGAGGUGUUGCUUUAUUUCUUUAUUUUUUACUUUUUUUUUUAAACCCUCUCACGGUUCCAUAUAGCCGACCUCAUUUAGUUUGGAAAAUGCUAAGUUGUUGUAUAUUUUAUGUACAAUAUGAAUUGUUGAUGGAGUUGAGUUCUCUAAGAUAGGAAUAUUGAUACAUCGUGUAUCUUGGAUUUAUUAAUUGAUUAUGAUGAUGAACAUAAUAUUUAUUUUAGAUAUAUUUUGAAUUUAAGUGAUUUAGAUGAUAAGCAAGAUUUAGUUAUCCGUAUUUUGGAUGUUAAAAAGUUAUUAUGUAUUGUGUGUAUGUAUUAAGUGUAAUAUGUGGGUUUAAGAAAAAGUAGAAAUGUGAGAAAAAUCGUAUACAUUUAAAAGAAAAAACCUCUAUUAUUCUUGUUACUGCACAAAAAUCCGCAACUAUACUUUUGGUAAAAUAAUUCUACAACUAAAGUCAACAACUAUAGAUUUCACAAAUAAAAAUCCACAGCUAAAUUAUGCAAUAUAGACCUUGCUGCACAAAAAUCUACAACUAAUAUGCAAAGUUAUAGCCUUUGUUGCAAUCUGUGGCUAAUAAAAAAAUCCGCAACUAUAAAAAAGUAGCUACAAAUUUUGGGCACAAGAUUCUAUUGUUACAAAUGUGUUGCAGAAAAAUUUGCAGCUUUUUUUUAUAGUAGGCAAUCCAUAGUUAUAACCUCUAGCCUCAUUAACAUGAUACAAUGUGUUUUAAAACCUUGAGGUCCAUGGGUCAAAGAGGACAAUAUUGUGUCAAGGUUAAUGAGGUCGGGGCAUUGCAAAUGAUAUUAGAGCAAAACCCAAUAAUGCGGCAAGUACCAGACCCGCCUGAGAGAUCGGUGAGGUAUCUCCACUAGGAAUACAGUAAAAACAAGGUGUUUGGGAAAUCAGUGAGGGUAUAUAAACUUUAGUCCCACAUCGCCUAGGGGAGAUUAUUUGGCUAAUUGAUAACCUCUAGCCUUCUUAACAUAGUACAAUGCAUUUUAAAGCCUUGAGGUCCAUGGGUCAAAGAAGAUAACAUUAUGCCAAGGUUAAUGGGGCCGAAGCGUUACAACACGUGCCAAAGUGACUUAUGGAAUCCACUCCCAUCCAAUGAACUUUCCUCACUAGACCAUUAAACAGGUUGUAAUGGCUAAGAUUUUCUAAUAAAUGUUAAGGAUUCUAUCACAUCUUAAAACGUGUAUUGGGUGUUUUUAGAAGAAAAGUGAUGAGAUUGGUUAUCUCUAUCUGUGCAAAACAUGUGCCAAACCGACUAAUGGAAACCAAUUCACGUCCAGUGCACUUUCCUCACUAGACCAUUAAAUAGGUUGUAGAUGUUUAAGAUUUUCUAAUAAAUGUUAAGGAUUAUAUCACAUCUUAAAAUGUGUAUUGGGUGUUUUUAGAAGAAAAGUGAUGAGAUUGGUUACCUCCAUCUGAACAAAACAUGUGCCAAACCAACUAAUGGAAACCAACUCACGUCCAGUUCACUUUCCUCGCUAAACCAUUGAACAGGCUGUAAUGGUUAAAAUUUUCUAUUAAAUGUUAAGGAAUCUAUCACAUUUUAAAACGUGUAUUGGGUGUUUUAAGAAGAAAAGUGAUGAUAUUGGUUAUCUCCAUCUGUACAAAACACGUGCCAAGCUGACUAAUGGAACCCAACUCAUGUUCAGUUCACUUUCCCCACUAGACCAUUGAACAGGCUGUAAUGGUUAACAUUUUCUAAUAAAUAUUAAGGAUUUUGUCAUGUAUUAAAACGUGUAAUGGGUGUUUUAAGAAGAAAAGUGAUGAGAUUGGUUAUCUCCAUUUGUACAAAACAUGUGCCAAGCCGACUAAUGGAAUCGAACUCACGUCCAGUGCACUUUCCUCAUUAGACUAUUGAACAUGUUGUAAUGGUUAAGAUUUUCUAAUAAAUGUUAAGGAUUCUAUCACAUCUUAAAACAUGUAAUGGGUGUUUUUAGAACAAAAGUGAUGAGAUUGGUUAUAUCUAUCUAUAUAAAACAUGUGCCAAACCGACUAAUGGAAACCAACUCACGUCCAGUGUACUUUCCUCGCUAGACCAUUGAACAAGCUGUAACGGUUAAGAUUUUAUAAUAAAUGUUAAGGAUUCUAUCACAUCUUAAAACGUGUAUUGGGUGUUUUUAGAUGAAAAGUGAUGAGAUUGGUUAUCUCCAUUUGUACAAAACAUGUGCCAAACUGACUAAUGGAAUCCAACUCACGUCUAGUGCAUUUUCCUCGCUAGACCAUUGAACAGGUUGUAAUAGUUAAGAUUUUUUAAUAAUUGUUAAGGAUUCUAUCACAUCUUAAAACGUGCAUUGGGUGUUUUUAGAAGAAAAUUGAUGGAAUUGUUUGUCUCCAUCUACAUUACACGUACUAAACCGACUAAUGGAAGCUUUUGGUUUCUAUAUAUUUAAUUUCUCCCUAAUUUGUUUAUUUUAUAUUAAAAUUUAUGGAAAUGUCAGCCUCCAUUGUUUUUUCUUAGCUAUGUACUUAAAGGUAUUAUAACAGCUGAUAUUGUGCUAGAAACAUGAAGCAUUCCUACCUCAAUAUAAGUAGUCGUCGGGUCUCAAACUAGAUUCAUAGAGGAAAUCUAACCUUCUUCAACUUUGAGUUAUUAGUUUUCUCAUUUUAAGCAGUCUUAUGUGCUUCUCUAUAUGAUGAUAAAGUUAGGAAUGUUUGAGCUCCAUGUAUAUCCAAGUUCUAUGAGGAAUGGUAAAUGGAGUAUUACAUGGUAAACCAUCGGUUCUAAGUCCUAGAGCUAUAUCAUUUUUCACCUCGCAUGCGUUGAUAAAGGUUUAGGGGAAGCAAUAGUCAUUAACGAGAAUUCAUGCAUAUGAUCACGUGCCCUAACUUCAUCUAAGAAAUUUCAGAAAUGGUGGUACCUACUAUGAGGAGAGUGCAUAACAAAAUUUUGUACGGAAUUGCCAGUAGUCCUAAUUAUAGAAUUACUACUUGGGUUUUGCAUCCUAUAGAUCAUUGGAUAACAUCAAUUUUGGGUCAAGGGCAACCGAUGCAAUACACAACAUCAAAUGGUGAACACCAGGGAUACAUGAUGCUCAUGGGAAUUUUUUUCCUCGACUUGUUUCACAAGUUGUAGCUGUUUGUAAUGCACUGGAAGCUUUGGCUUUUGUUGGGUUCAGACAAGGUGGAUUUGACAUUAUUCUGAUGUGAAUCUCAUCAAAAAAUACUUCUUUUUUGGGAUGGUUGAUCCAAACCAAUCAGUUGGUUAUAGAUGAAUUCACCUUGUGAGAUGAAAUUCCACUGGGAAACUCUUGCUUCCACUCAUGGAAUGGACAACAACAGCAAUCAAUUCAUCAAUACUCAAGUCGGGGUUACCUCCACUAGGCUUUGACAGUUUCUGGAAAACCUCAAUGCUUGAUUGAGCCUUUGUCGUCAUCUUUCUCUAACCUUCCUCACAUGGCAAAAUAGUACUAGAAAUAAAAUGUUAUCAACUUCAAACAUCUCAAGUGGUUGCGGAUUUCCAUCUGCAUCAUAAGGCCUGAGGUUGUAAAAUAUCAUUCGGGAGGAACCUUUCAAAGCCAGUGGCAUGUCACAGCUCAAGCACGUAUGGACCAAGAUUUGGCUUUAAAAUUUAUUGAUUCCCUUCUCAUGCAUUUUCACUGAUGGAAUUCAAGACAUUGUACCCCCAACAACUUUUCCUUAACAAUUCGAGCAUUCAGGAACAACUUUUCCUUAACAAUUCGAGCGUUCAGGUGAAAUGGUAGCAAACAUAGGCAUACAUAAUUCUGCAUAGAAGAUGCCCUUCUUGUGUUAUGCUACUCUCUGGAGCCACCAUACACCACGUCUUCUUGCCUCGCCAAGCUUGAUCAUUGAAGAUGAUAUUGGUAGAGACCUGGAUAGAUAUCCCUUAUGUAUUUUGCAGAGAGAGAGUUUUGUUUCCUCUUACCAAAGACAUUUUAUAUGUUAAUUAAGUUAAUUUUAUUAGCAAUACGUUGAUAGAAAAUUUAAAGUUUCCAAAAUAAUAAACUUUCUUGUACCAGUGAAAAUUAUUUUCAA